GACGAACGCUGGCGGCGUGCUUAACACAUGCAAGUCGAACGGAAAGGCCCUGCUUUUGUGGGGUGCUCGAGUGGCGAACGGGUGAGUAACACGUGAGUAACCUGCCCUUGACUUUGGGAUAACUUCAGGAAACUGGGGCUAAUACCGGAUAGGAGCUCCUGCUGCAUGGGGGGGGUUGGAAAGUUUCGGCGGUUGGGGACGUACUCGCGGCUUAUCAGCUUGUUGGUGGGGUAGUGGCUUACCAAGGCUUUGACGGGUAGCCGGCCUGAGAGGGUGACCGGCCACAUUGGGACUGAGAUACGGCCCAGACUCCUACGGGAGGCAGCAGUGGGGAAUAUUGCACAAUGGGCGGAAGCCUGAUGCAGCAACGCCGCGUGCGGGAUGACGGCCUUCGGGUUGUAAACCGCUUUCGCCGGUGACGAAGCGUGAGUGACGGUAAUGGGUAAAGAAGCACCGGCUAACUACGUG
rnacentral:rRNA from 1 species